AGCCGUAUUUUACAAUCCUCAGUCAGCUGUUGUUUUGGGGGUGGGUCACGAGAUGUGUGAGAUCGCAGCGAUUUAAGCAAACAACCUCAUUCUGGAAGCCCCAGUUGUUAAAAGAGAAUGGGAUCUCACAGGGCUCUAGGAAAGCGUGUUCCAGCCGAGCCUUGUGCUGGGAUGGCCCCUGAAGUCAGGAGAAACACCUUCACAGAAUCACGGGAUCAUUAGGGUUGGGAGGGCCUCUGAAGAUCAGCCAGUCCAACCCCUUGCUAAGGCAGGGUUACCUGGAACAGGUGACACAGAAACACUUCCGGUUUACAGGCACUGCUCCUUGUCCUGUUGCUGGGCACCAC